CUUAAGUUGCUAAGAGGGAAGCGGGCCCUCCUGCAUGUCGUGGUGCUGGAGCUCCCGCAACCCACAGUUGUUGAUCUUCUUACCUAGGUGAACGACAUUGGGUGUCCCCUGUCCCCAGAAGAGUCCUGGGCUGUAGGGGGACACCAAAGAGCUCUGAGUUGGGAGGCAUGGAGGAGAUCAUCCAUGAUCCAAGGACAGCACUGUCCCUAUGUGGUGCAGGCAAACAUCACAGUACCAUAGGGACCUCAUAAAGUCAUCGUAAGUACCGGAACGUUCUGGUGCCAUCCAGACUCUCUGCGGACCCAAAGGGUUCUGGUGCCAUACAGACCCCAUAAGGUCACCUUCUGUACUUUGUCUUUUAGGAUGGCACAUUGGUGUGACCCCUGUGCUAUCCCCUUUCUGUUGCAUGAGGACUUGAUCAUCCCUAGAUGUCCCCACCAGAUCCUCUAGAGGACACAGCCCAUUGUCCUGUAAUAAACACCAAUAAAGAUCCUCAGCAAAGCUCCUGUGCCCGUGUCCCUGUAUUCCCGUGUCCACAUGUCCCUUCGUCCCUGUGCCCAUCUGACCCCUUUUAUCCCUGCAGUAACCGCAUUAUCGUACAGUAACCCUAUAAUUCCUAUAGUGGCACUGUUAUGUUUUUCCUGCAGUAACCUCGUUACCCCUGCAAUAACGCCAUUAUUCCAUGACUCUGUGGCAUUCAUUUGGGUUGAAGUGUGGAGAUGGCACUGGGUGACACCGAGGGUGACACAGUCCCUCAAUGGGUGGUACUGGGGGACACCAGGGGUGACAGCACCUCAAGGAGCACCGUCGGGGUGACACAACCCCUCAGUGGGUGGCACUCGGUGUGCUGUAGAACCCCCAACACAAUUUCUGACCCUUUCGGGCGCCCACCUUUCGGGGCAGCUACAACCUCUCUCCCACCCUCAGACUCGCCCGCUCUCCAAGCCAAUGGCAGCCAUCGCCCAGCAAAUGGCAGUGCAUCCAGCCAAUGGGGACUCGCGGUGGCGGCGGGGAGAAGGAACAGAGGGAACGGCCACGCCCUUUUCUUCUUUUCCUCCCUUCGGGUGCAGUGGACGAAAUGGCAGCGCCAGUUGCAUAGCAACAGCGCUCGGGCCCACCCGGAGGCUUCAAACACCGUUUGGGCCUAACUCAACCCCCUAAUAUUCAUCCUAAUCCCUUAACUGGACGGAUACCCUACAGUGGGGAUAAAUCCAGCCCGAGGGCAAACCCUGCCCGGGUUAACUCCUGCCUGGGGUGCGGUAUUUUGGUUGCGGGACCCCGGUCCUGGGGCAGCCCAAUGGGCCGGUUCUCGUUGGUCUGCAGGGUUGGACCCGGGCAAAGGGGAAGAGGAAAAGAAAAAGGAAGAAGGCAUUUCCAGGUCCGCCUGCCCCACUGCCGAGUGUCGUACCCCACGGUGCCCUACAGCAACUUCUUGUACCCUGUUUCAAGAUCCGCCACCCACACUGAAUCUCAGCAAGCUGUUCUGCCCCACAGCGCGCUCCAGCAAUGUCUCCUGCCCUGCAGUGAAGAAGUCUCCAGCACCAUGGAGGACCCCAUGAUCCCCCUGCCACUACAUCCACAUGGUAGACCUCAGCAGCAACGUCACUUGUGAUAUAGGUGGGGCUCUGCAACUGAUAUCUCAUGGACUGAAGGACCAGAGGGGACCUCCGUUCAGCACGCACACCGAGUGAUUCUUGGGGAGCUCACCCCGUUCCCUUCUCCAUUGGGACCAGCUGCAAGUUCCCUGGAAUACGCACAGUUGAGAUGGCACUGGAAAGCAAAAGAGAGAGGAUCCUGAAUUCCUGUGUCAACAGUGUCUUCUUUUUCUUCCAAAUGUGGACAUACCAGAAGAGGGGAAAAAGCUCUGCCCAGGUAUGUUCUUGCUGAGCUGCCAGAGCCUGAGUCCCUUUAGGCUGCUCCCUGGCUCCUUGUCCCAAGAACACUGGAGACUCAGGCAUGGUGGAGGCCCAGCUUUCCUUUCCCACCCUCGUGCCUUCCUUGGGGAUGGCGUUAGGGUGAGGUGCCCCGUGCAGUGCUGCAGGUGCUCUUCUACAACCCUCUGUCCUCUUGCAAACUGUGACAGCAAUGGAAAUCAUGCCUUGGUGCACAACUGCCACAUCUCCAGGGCAGGCAUUAUCUUUCAGGUCUGGCUGUUUCAAAGAGAGGGGUAACUGAGGGAGUUCCACAUGCCAAGGGACUUGAGUGUCCCUGCUGUGGUGGCAUAGACUCCUGGCACCUGUCCUUCCUGCACAGGAUCCCAUCCCUGCAACUCUGUGCUGCCUUCCCAGUGGGGCAGAUCCCAGAGCUCCUGUUGGAGCAGCAGCUCCCAGGGCGGAGACCAGCAGCUUCUCUCUUUGCAGGCACUGCUGCACUUCAUCAACUACCAGCACAUGCUUGUGUGUACGAGAAGCCUGAGCGUGUGCUUCAGUGGAUGCUCUCAUGUUUGAUGGAAAAAGUAAGGAGCCAGGCACCCUCCAGCCAGGCUCCCUCCCCUUCCCUGCAUCCCAGAGCAGCUCAGGGGUGCCUGCAGCCGGGGCACAGCUUGGAGCUCUCAACAGAGAGCUCCAAAGUGAAGGUCUCCACCUUUCCUUUGCCCCUGCUCUUCCUUCUCCAGACCCUGCUCUGCCUCCACUCAGUCCUUCCCCUGCCCCCUCUCCAUCACCCAGGACUGGUACAGUACCAAAAAAUGUCAGGAAAAGUGUGACUCAGUCAUCAAGGUCUACUUCUCCAUCGUGGGAGAGAGCUCCUGGGUCACCUCUGCCUUUUCAGCUGUGGAGAAGAUGCCACUAGAUACCCAGCUACAGUUGCAUUUUAUUGCCUCUAUGCAUCCAUCAAACAGGAAAGCAGUAAGAUAAGAUGGGAUGAGCAGUAUCACUCUGCAGACAGACAUCUGCUGCUGUGCCUGCUUGUUUCCUUUGUUAUUCUGCUUGGUGGAGCCUGUCCAUGAAGUCUGCAGGUUCCCUGAACACCUCUGCUACUGCACCUCCAUCGUUCUUGAGCUCCCUCUUGUUCCUAGCACUCCUCACCUUUUGCUGUAUAAUCCCUUUUUUGUUUAUAAUCCCUGUCCUACUCUCCUCACCACAGGGAUUCUCCCCAUGGGUCCCCUCACCACUGAUCUCCCCAACCAUUCCUUGUUUAAAGCACCGUUCACUGUUUGCUAAGCUUGUUGCCAAAACGAUGUUUCUUCCUGACCCCCUCUGUUCCCUCCCCUUUAGAAACAAUGCUGACAGAUGAGAUGGAAGAUUAGGUUACCUACAGCUCUGAGAGGAGCUGUAGGAUACAAGUUUCCCCUUGUAUGCCUUGUCCAGUCCCAGGGACAUUGCCAAGGUAACAAGCUCCAGCCUUCCUGGGAAUCUCAUGGCCUCCAUCUGAAAAAACCUGAGGAACAUCCAAGUGAAGGCAGCACAAAGCAGACUGGAUGAGUGUGCCUUGCAUACGUCCUGCCCAACUGAUAGCAAACCUCCAGCAAGGAGCCAGCUGGGCAGACCACGUGGUGCUUUCAGUGAGAGAGGGUGAGUCCCCUCCACAACAUCUCUUCCUCAGUGCAAUUAGAAGAGCAUUGUGGAUCUCCUCUGGGAAUCUUCACAGCACCGUGACUGCUGCUUUGGGUGUCUGCAGGUGGAAUACACUCCAGGUAGCUAGUGUGCAUUUCUCUCUGUACUCCCAAGUUGAAAGGGGAGGAGUCAAGAGAGAUAUUUCUUUCCAGAAUGUAAACAGUAGCUUUUUUUCUACAAGUCUGUUUCCACCCUUUGCCAUUAAAAUUUAAAUACUCCUUGCAGGGAUGA